rnacentral:rRNA from 1 species
GACGAACGCUGGCGGCGUGCUUAACACAUGCAAGUCGUACGGUAAGGCCCUUUCGGGGGUACACGAGUGGCGAACGGGUGAGUAACACGUGAGUAACCUGCCCACAACUUUGGGAUAACGCUAGGAAACUGGUGCUAAUACUGGAUAUGUGCUCCUGCUGCAUGGUGGGGGUUGGAAAGCUCCGGCGGUUUUGGAUGGACUCGCGGCGUAUCAGCUUGUUGGUGGGGUAGUGGCCUACCAAGGCGGCGACGGGUAGCCGGCCUGAGAGGGUGACCGGCCACAUUGGGACUGAGAUACGGCCCAGACUCCUACGGGAGGCAGCAGUGGGGAAUAUUGCACGAUGGGCGCAAGCCUGAUGCAGCAACGCCGCGUGCGGGAUGACGGCCUUCGGGUUGUAAACCGCUUUCAGCAGGGACGAAGCUUUUUGUGACGGUACCUGCAGAAGAAGCACCGGCUAACUACGUG